UUUAUGGUUGUUUUCUUAAUUGUCGUUGUUAGCAUUCUCAACAUACAUCCACCUUUUCUCUGAGUAAAGGACUUAUCUGCAAUCAUACAUGUUUCGCUGGUUUUGUGCUAGAUAGCUAGAUACAAGUAGUUGGCCCAUUGGCCAUUGUUGACUUAACAUGGUAUUAGAACUACGGUGUUUGAGAGGUCUUGGACUCGCGUCUCUACAUCUGCAUUGUUUCUCGUUUCAAUUCUUGUUCUUUGUUUGCAUUCUGCAUCUUUAUGGCCAUUGAUGUUUGCAUUUCCACUUGCAAGACGGGUUUGCACCAGAAGUUGCUGGAUAGCACUUUAAGCUUUUUGUUCUCUCACUUCUCUGUUGUUAACAUGGGGGAAAAAAGUUAGAAACUAAAAUUUUCUUUUGUUUUAAUUUCUUUCUUACAUAUUGUUGUUCAUAUGCUGCUCUUUCUUGUGUCGGUUUCCUCAGGGUUCUUGGUACCAUAUUUGUUCUCUGGCAGCUUAUUUAAGAAAAUGUGAAAGAAAGGACAUAAAUGAUGUUUCCUUUCUGCUUUUUUUUUUUUUUUUGUGGUACAACGCAAAUAGCUUCCUUUCUGCUAUUGUAUGUAAAAUUUGGUUGCCAUUCUGCUAUAGUAUAUUGUUUCCUGUUGCAUAAUGAAGAUCCUGAGUAGUGUGUGAUGUCAACAUUCAUACUCUGUAACAUGUAUUGAAAAAUAAGUCCUACGAAAAGUAUAUCCUACUUUGUUUACUCUACUCUUUGGUCUUCCUCGCAUUUUUUCCUUUUCCUAUAUUUUGCCCAACACUUGCC